ACUUUACCAGAGAAGACUCAACCAAUGCUGCCUUAAGGACUCAUGUUGUUUCUUUUCUAAUUCUCUUCUGUACUUUUUAAACUUGAAGAGGAAACCAAACCUGAUCAUCUGGUCAGAUGAACACACUCAAGCCUAUGAAGUCUACCUCCAGCACAACCAAGCCUGAUACCUCACACACAAGCAAAAAUGAGAGAAAGAAGACCAGGAGUCUCCAGAGGCUUUACAGAAAGUACUUGCAUUGUUUUCUAUAUUUUCAAACAAAUACUGUAUCCAACCAAA
rnacentral:lncRNA from 1 species